rnacentral:rRNA from 1 species
GCUUGGCCCUAAACCUCAGUAGUUAGAUAACAAAACUACUCGCCAGAAUACUACGAGCUACAGCUUAAAACUCAAAGGACUUGACGGUGCUUUACACCCCCUAGAGGAGCCUGUUCCGUAAUCGAUAAACCCCGAUCCACCCCACCCUCUCUUGCUCAGCCUAUAUACCGCCAUCUUCAGCAAACCCUAAUGAAGGUCACAAAGUGAGCGCAAACGCCGUCCCGCGAGUACGUUAGGUCAAGGUGUAGCCUAUGAGAUGGUAAAAAAUGGGCUACAUUUUCUACCUCAGAAAAUCCACGAAAACCCUUAUGAAAUUUAAGGGCCCAAGGAGGAUUUAGCAGUAAAUUAAGAAUAGAGUGCUUAAUUGAACCAGGGCAUAAAGCGCG